ensembl:lncRNA LINC00690 long intergenic non-protein coding RNA 690
GCCCCUUCCGCCUUCCGGAUGGAUGAAAGCAGAAGCAGUGGCUGGAGCUAGAGCAGCUAUUUAGGACUAUGAGAUGGAAGAAAUGUGGUGACAAUAGCAGAACAAAAAUAUAGAAAUCUUGGGUACUUGAUGACCACGGAGCCGCCAUACAAACUCUGGACUAUAAUUUCCAGAGACUGUUUAUACGAAGAGACGGAGUCUCAAGUUUCCAUAGCUGGUGUGCACUUUAGUUCCUCAAGGACAAUAAUGCCCCACCCUUGAGAGAAUGAAGAUACUGUCAUUACCUCUGCAAAGAAUGCAUCCUAGCACAGAUCAAAGAUCUUCCAAGUCCAGCCACACCAUUUUACAGUUCUGAACCUCGACUUAGGAAAGCAGUGGAUCUUUAUACAUUUGACACAUCCCUUCCCUCUAGGAUCUCUGUGGCUAUUGAAAAUGGACUGGAGAAGAUGAGUGGGAGUGAGAAGAGGAUAACAGAAUCAGAUAAAAACCUGUCAUGUUACUAAGAGCAGGAGAUGAGGCAGCCUGGACCAAGAUGGUGGCAGAGAGAAGAAAAUUGCUUGAGAGAAUUGAUUAAACUACUUGGUUAGCACAGAUAGAGCUGAAUCAAAAAUUAGGAUGGUAAGCUAAGUAAUUUUACACACAAAAAGGCAGAGUUGCAUUCAUAAUUAGUCUCUCCUUCAGACUGAAUAUUACAGACAAAAUAUAGCCAUUGGUGUUGCAAUCACUUCCUUUGGGUUUGUAUCCAAGGUUAAGAAUGUCAGCAUCCAAAGACCCAAAUUCUUAAUGUUUUUAGUUGAUAAAGUUUAUUCAAGGUAGACAGCCUGUGUUGAAUAACUUAGUCUUCCACAAAUUUCAAGAAAAAUCCAUUGUCCCUCUUCUCCGCCACAGACACACUUUAGUUGAACAUUAAGCAUAUUUAUUAAAGAAACAUUCUCCUUGUGCUUUUUCUCCCAA